GCCUGGAUAGCUCAGUUGGUUAGAGCAUGGUGUUGAUAAAGUCAAGGUUGCAUGUUUGAUUCCUGUGGGAGACA